GGAUUAGAUACCCUGGUAGUCCACGCCGUAAACGAUGUCUACUAGCCGUUGGGGUCCUUGAGGCCUUAGUGGCGCAGCUAACGCACUAAGUAGACCGCCUGGGGAGUACGGUCGCAAGAUUAAAACUCAAAUGAAUUGACGGGGGCCCGCACAAGCGGUGGAGCAUGUGGUUUAAUUCGAAGCAACGCGAAGAACCUUACCAGGGCUUGACAUCCUUGAGAUCCUGCAGAGAUGCGGGAGUGCCUUCGGGAAUCAAGUGACAGGUGCUGCAUGGCUGUCGUCAGCUCGUGCUG
rnacentral:rRNA from 1 species